GAUGAACGCUAGCGGCAGGCUUAAUACAUGCAAGUCGAGGGGCAGCAUGGGUGUAGCAAUACACUUGAUGGCGACCGGCAAACGGGUGCGGAACACGUACAGAACCUUCCUUCGAGCGGGGAAUAGCCCAGAGAAAUUUGGAUUAAUACCCCAUAGUAUAUUGAAGAGGCAUCUCUUUAAUAUUAAAGAUCUAUCACUUGAAGAUGGCUGUGCGGCNGAUUAGAUAGUUGGCGGGGUAACGGCCCACCAAGUCUACGAUCAGUAACUGGUGUGAGAGCACGACCAGUCACACGGGCACUGAGACACGGGCCCGACUCCUACGGGAGGCAGCAGUAAGGAAUAUUGGGCAAUGGAGGCAACUCUGACCCAGCCAUGCCGCGUGGAGGAUGAAGGCCCUCUGGGUUGUAAACUUC
rnacentral:rRNA from 1 species